CCUACGGGAGGCUGCAGUAGGGAAUCUUCCACAAUGGGCGAAAGCCUGAUGGAGCAACGCCGCGUGGGUGAAGAAGGUCUUCGGAUCGUAAAACCCUGUUUUUAGAGAAGUAAGUGCGUGAGAGUAACUGUUCACGUUUCGACGGUAUCUAACCAGAAAGCCACGGCUAACUACGUGCCAGCAGCCGCGGUAAUACGUAGGUGGCAAGCGUUAUCCGGAUUUAUUUGGCGUAAAGGGAACGCAGUCGGUCUUUUAAGUCUGAUGUGAAAGCCUUCGGCCUAACCGGAGUAGUGCAUUGGAAACUGGGAGACUUGAGUGCAGAAGAGGAGAGUGGAACUCCAUGUGUAGCGGUGAAAUGCGUAGAUAUAUGGAAGAACACCAGUGGCGAAGGCGGCUCUCUGGUCUGUAACUGACGCUGAGGUUCGAAAGCGUGGGUAGCAAACAGGAUUAGAUACCCCGGUAGUC
rnacentral:rRNA from 1 species